GAUGAGCCGAUGUCCGAUUAGCUAGUUGGCGGGGUAGAGGCCCACCAAGGCGACGAUCGGUAGCUGGUCUGAGAGGAUGAUCAGCCACACUGGAACUGAGACACGGUCCAGACUCCUACGGGAGGCAGCAGUGGGGAGUAUUGGACAAUGGGGGCAACCCUGAUCCAGCCAUGCCGCGUGUGUGAAGAAGGCCUUCGGGUUGUAAAGCACUUUUGUUCGGGAAGAAAAGCACUGGGCUAAUACCCCGGUGUCAUGACGGUACCGAAAGAAUAAGCACCGGCUAACUUCGUGCCAGCAGCCGCGGUAAUACGAAGGGUGCAAGCGUUACUCGGAAUUACUGGGCGUAAAGCGUGCGUAGGCGGUUUGUUAAGUCUGUCGUGAAAGCCCCGGGCUCAACCUGGGAAUGGCGAUGGAGACUGGCGAGCUAGAGUACGGUAGAGGAGAGUGGAAUUCCCGGUGUAGCAGUGAAAUGCGUAGAGAUCGGGAGG
rnacentral:rRNA from 1 species